ACUUCCAUUUAUCUCUUUUCACUUUACUGAGAGGAUUCAUCUUUCAAGCAAAUAUAGGCAAUAUUUAUUUCAUAGUAGCAUUAGAACGUGAGCUACAUUUUCUUGGCAGUAGCACAACACAAUCACGUCAAUAGUGGGAGCUGAUUUCUCACUUUGAUUCACCAAUCUACUUAGCAACGUUUUCCCCCACAAAUACCUUGAUAAUUUGUGUUUUCUUCAACAAAAAGAAAAAUAGAUGCCACAUAGGAGGGCACGUGUAAACAACAAGGGCAACACCUAAAUACCCAUUUGAUGACUAAGUGGAUCCAUUAUUUCAUUCACAAAAUUGGAAUUUGAGAGAGAAGCAAUUUAUUUCCCAAAGUGAGCUAGAGAGAAGGACUCUCGGCCAUGGUUGCUCUUAGUUGAGCUCAAGAUUUUGAUAACAAAUAAAAUGGUUUCUAAGGUGCUACAUACAUUCAAAGGGGGUGGCAGCAUGAAUUUAAUUCUUGGAGCAACAAGAAUCCUUGCAAUCUUAAUCUACAAAAUGCAACAACGUUAGGUGUUCUCAAUUUGCUAAGGCUAAAAGAGCGACGAGGCGAACGGAUUUACGAAUAGUCGCUAACAGGUACAGAUAGUCGGUUUGGUGACCCUUCAGCAUAGGACUUCCACUCAGCUGUCUUGGAGAGCUCCGUUGUUCCGGAGUCUAGACUUUUAAUACAGAUCUCAUGAUAUAUAUAUGUAUAUGUUUAUCCAGGGGUACGGCGGGGCCCUGUCCCGUCAUAUGUUACUGUUGAUACUCUAAGAGGUCUGUAGACAUAUGUGUGGGUUGUGUAUAAGCUCUGUUCAGCUGUGUCUAUACGUUGUGCUAUGUAUAUGUUCCUCUGUAAUGACAGCCUUGUCGGCUAGCAUAUGACAUGAUAUUGAUGUGUAGUGGCAGCCUUGUCGGCUUGCGUAUCGUUUUAUUAUUUGAUCAGUUGUGACUCCUCAGGAGACAGUUUAUCUCUGAAUAUACAUAUAUGACGACGUUAUGAACCGUUGGAGUUCUUUUGCAA